rnacentral:siRNA from 1 species
AGCAGGUUCUGGUUAAUGGUGUG